rnacentral:lncRNA from 1 species
AUGCGCAGGCGUGCAAGAUACGUUAGCUGUGUAGCGUAGGUAGGAGCGAGACAUAUAGGAAGGUUUUGCAAGGUAAGGGACAUAUAACAUAUAGGAAGCCGACGGUUGGUUUUGAUUCUACUCUACAAACGAAUUUCUUUGUAGUUUUUCUCUCGUUGACAACGAAAGAAAAUUCUCUUUCUUUUUCAUUCCUUUCCUCCUUAGCGAGACAAGAGAAUUUCUUGUUUUUCGCUAGUGGGAUGGGAAAAAAAUGAUCUUGUUCAUGCCGCCAAGGCAAAAAAAGUCUCAAUGCCAUCUGAUGGGCAAAAGCCAUUCCGUUUGUUUCGAAAAUCGUCGAACUCGAACAUUGCCUCGAUCACUAAAAGAUCUUUUUUUUUUUACAAUGACAGGACGCAGAUUAGACUCGUCGGGUAGUUUUCCAUAAGGUUUCUUUUUUGAAAGAAAGAUUCUUUUCAUUGGUUGAAACAAAAAAAAAGUAGAGUUAGCUAAAUCUUCCUAAAGAAGAUUGAAAUCAGCGUCCGACAACACGAUUCUAUCUUUCUCCAAAGAGCUAUCGUCCCAAUAUCGCCACGUUUAACUGUCGUAUUAAAAUUGUGAUAAGAAUCAUUCUCAUUUGUCGUUUUUGUCCAACUCAGAGAGGGGCCAAAAGCGGGGCUCUUUCUUUGAAAAGGGACCGAGCUUUUCUUUUGUCUUCCUUUGAUUUGGAAGAAGGUCUUGGUGAGAAAGAGCAGAAUGUGAGAGCUCCCUUUGUGCUAAUUGCGGAAAAGGCGCGUCUCCGGUUCAACUGCCCUUUGCCUGUUAUACCAAAAAAGCGCAUAGGUUCAUUCCGUGUGUGGAUCGAGCUCCGGUCUAGUUGACGUUUCCUGUGAUCGAGACUGUGGUCUACGUGUGUGGUACGUUGGCUAUCGUGGUUCGGUUAGGGUGGCCAGUGCUCUUUCUGAACAUAAAAAGUCAAUUGCCGUCAUGCGGUCGGUGCGGCCUAAAGAGCAUCAACCCACCUUGCGCGUGACUUGCUUGCGUUUCACCAGUAACUCCGCGGAAACGUUCGGUCCUCUGCGCCAUCACUGAUUGCGUCCGCACUUUUAAAGAUAACGCUUCGCCUUAAUUAAAAAAAGUCAAAGCGCUUGGCAUUGGCUUGCGUAUAGCUCCAUCCUACUAACCGGAAAUCAGGAUUGACUUCUGUUUCUAAGUAUACCCAUUCCUGGGGCCCUGGGAGGGUGGUCGGAUCACUAGACAACUUUUCGUACAGUUGCAUCAGUAGCUAUUUCAUUCGUUAUAGGUAAUUUCGUUCGCCUUUGUGGGCUUUGAAGCGUCAUAGAGCUUUCCGCUUCGGGUAAAGGUCCACUUUGUCCCCCAAUAGGGGUGUUCUGGCCCAUGAUCAGUUCGGUUGCGUAGUGUUAGCUCAGGUGUUGUCUACCCUGGUCGGAGCUGGAAUUAGAACUUUGUUUAAAUGGGUCCAGUCCUUUCGGGUCCGACGUUUCUCUGAAAUUCUGCCUUUGGUUAGCAGGAAAGGCUCACCUGGCUUGAUCAUGCUUGCUUGGUCGACCUCUCCUGAUUUAUCUGUCAGUAAUGGAAGCAUCCAUGGGUUGUGUCCUUGGUCAGCACGAUGGAGGAGUGAGCCUAGUGCUUCGUUUGAUGGAAGCACGAGGGAACGGGUUUCAUCGGCAGGCUUUUUUUGGGGCGCUUCCGUUACAACGACUUCACUCUGAGGCCUCUCACCUACCCCAUGAUUCUCCCUGGACGCUUCAUCGUGAUUAUUGCCCGGUGAGUGCGAAGUCAAAGUGGGAAAAAAAAGAUUCGCUCUAGCCCAUUCUAACAGGGCUUGGGGUGGAAUAGACCGACUUGAUGUAAUGGAUGGCACUUGAUUAAUUAAUAGGGCACGAGAGGAUACUACCUUUAUUCAUUCAUUUAUUCACCUCCGCCCCUACCCCCGUUGGGGGGUCCUGAUCUCGAUCAAAUGCAACUGACUAUUCUUUUUCGGUUUGAGGCGAUCGGUAAUUAUUUUGAUGAUGGGAGUGGGUCGGCCAUGGAAAGCAUUCUGGUUUCUUCUUCAGUGAGGCAUUAACGAAUCUCACAUUGAUUGAAGUGUUUGAUCUUCCCCGGUCAGUCAAAAGAAGAGGAGUAAGUUGAUCGGGGAGAGGCAGGUGGUAGAGGCGCUGAACUACAUUACAUGGAUGGCGGGAGGAAACAAAUGUCUGAAGCGGGUCGGUUUCUCGGUUCCUCAUCUGCUUAUUCGUGAAUCAGAAGGUUGGUUCAGAUGCGGGUCAGAAGAGGAGAUUUAUUUCCAAGGAGGAUAGGGAAUUGGGGAAGGCUUCAAAGGCUGGUCUACUUACUGCUCGAUGAGGGUAAUCAGGUCGGGUCAGAAGGUGGUCCGAUUCCUCUUCAUUGGUUUCAAAUCCAGCCAAUGAACAUUUGGUUGCAGGGGAGGAUAGGUAAACAUCUUUCUCUCUGAAGGCGAUAGGUUUCAUUCCAUCUUGAGUCUUCCAUCCCUCCGGAGUCAACUACUGUAUGGAAGGAUCCUCCGUCCUGAGUGGCAUUAGAACCCACCCAAUAGUAGGAGGAGGAGGAGCCUUUGGUUCGUGCACUUUACUCGAGCUUAAUAAUCUGCCUUUACCGGACGGACGGGAUUUCUCGGCGCCAUGAAAAAAUUAUGAUAGGGCUCGAUGACUACGUCUUGUGGAUGCUACCUACAAGGGAAGAGAAUCCACGCUUCCGCCAGUGAGUUCUUUUCUGCGGGAUUCCUUUCUGUUGCUCUGUAUCCUAUGGAGAUGGAUUGAUAUGGAGGGUUGGUUUCCACUUCUUACCUAUUCACUUCUACUUGAACCGUUCAACGAGCGUUGUCACGAUCCAAAGGAAGAUCUCCUGGCUCAGCACUACUCAACUUGUGGAGUGCCACAUACCCUGCUGACAACAACUGCAGCAGUCACAAGUCUGGUCCCCUACCUCACAAAGUCGCUUGAUGGCCGAAGCACUCCCAAGGCGAAUAGUGCCCUAGGGGCCGACCCGACACCGACCGGCGGAUACUCCCGCGCAGCAAACUCCGCAAGUCGGUAUUCGUCUACGAGAGGCGCACUCCUAUGCCUUUCGAGGCUUCUCAGUGUAAGAAAGCCUCACCUCUUUCUGUUACUGAACACACACUUUUGAUCCACUAGAACAUGUAGAUCUACUAGACGACAAACAAAGAAGUUGGUAGCAACAGAACUGCCUCUAAACCACUAGAGCACCUACAAAAAUCAGUCUACCUACGCUACAUUGUACCUUCUAUUAAUUAAGAUUGCCGUUUUAGGCCAUCUUAAUGAAAGCCUGGGAAUUGUGUGUGCACCAUUAACCUAUGCCUCUCGAUUUAGCGAGAGGGCCUGCGAGCGGCCUUGGUAGCAAGGCCAACCCUGGACCUGCUCAGAUGAGCCUCCAGGAGCGAAGGCAGGCCGCUGAGGCCGCCCACAGAAGGGUUCUGGCCUACAUGGCCGAACAAGACGGAAUAACAGACAGCCAGCUGCAACAAGACCUGCAUUUCCAUGAGGUAUGCUCACUGAUUGAAGAGCUCGCGCUUUCUUCCCGACGAAGACAUCUUUCUCUGAUCCUUGAAUGCUUCCUCGUUGCUUUGCCUUUCGAAGGAUUCCCUUCAGCUUCCGCAAUGAUAUUGUACCCUUUUUUCAAGGAAAUCCCAAUGCUUCUCUUAUUCAGUAGUUCAAUCCGCCUUUGUUACCCCGGAUCCCGCUCUUAAUGAGCCGAAGAGAAGUGCAUGAAAUGGUGGCCAUUGGCCAACAAGUUGCGUAGACUUCAGACCCACUUUGCUUUCACGAUUUGACCUUGACAUUCCAUCAAUGAAUUCAUCUUCCGCUUUGCACCGACCCCAUUCCUCAAGUCCGUGGUCUUCGAUCAUAAACUAUCUCUCCCUCUCGAGACAGUCAGGUUAUUUAUUCCUAAAAUCCAGGUUAGUCAAACUCCAGCUAAAGCGGAAAAGAGUGAAAAGAGGAAAAAACGAGCCUGUCAAUCCUAAGAGUGUGCGUCGAAGCACAAGCUGAGUUUCAAAAUUUGGACUUCUAAGAUGCAAAUCAAACUCAUGUUCCGACAGUCAAAUUUUCUCUUUAGCUUGGACAGUUGGGUAAGCCGAUUGUAUUGUCUUCUUUUCUUCUUUGCCAGUGCAAUCGAUUUAAGAAGCUUGAAAGCCGGUCUCCUGUGUUGUUUCCCAACUAGAAAACAUGUUUGAAACCCUAUACCUUAAAGGGAGGGGGGUCAAAAGGAAAGGGAUAUCACUUCAACUGCUUUUGCUUCCAAGCCGGAGAAGAGAGAUCGAAAGAGCUACCUGAGGCUUGGUUCAACCACUUGACUAGAUAGGAAGAACGACAGAAGCAAGCAGCCUAAAGGGAGAGGGUGAUGUCUCCAUAGGUAGCAAGAAGCGAAUGUCAGUCAAGCGGGCAGGCCUUUGUAUCUAAGGGGGCUUGAAGAGAGAAAGGGUGGAACAGUGCAUACUCCGCCUAACCGGGAAAUCACUCUAAGGUAUUUUAGGCUAAACCAAAUUCCAUCAUGCAAAGCUUAAUAGAAAGAAUUUUUUUUUCUGACUCAAGACAAAAAUGAAACACGGGACUGAAAAAGCAAGGUUGGUUACAUACUCGGGAGGGGCCAUCAACCUGCAAUCGAGAGUGGUUCAGUGAAAUAGACUAUUGUACUGACACAGAGUUGAUCAUACUUUUAGAUGAGAGCUCACACCAGAUUGAAGGGUGUGGAGUUGCCAAGAUGAAUAUGGAAGACGGCACACUGAAAAAGAAGAAUGAUAUGCUGCUAGUACAAAGGAGGAAGAACCUGCUCUCUGUAUCUUCGCAAAAGACGGAUACAAGAUAGAUCUGGAAGAAAUAGUUUCGUGAAGGAUAAUAAGAACGGUUUCAGAAUCGUGGCCAAAGGGCACGAAGAGCUUAGUACCAGUUUCAUGGAGGAUCUUAGAGAGCCUUAGCGGCUGUAUCAGAUACCACACGAGUAUGGCAUGGAAGGUAUAGGUAUGGUCAUCUGAACUUCCAAAGCCUACUGGAACUGAGAAGCAGACGCAUGGUAAUUGGUCUGCCGUUUAUGCCUUGGUUUGGUGUUGUUUGCGAAGCAUGCGCUGUAGGAAAACAGCAUGCAGAGCCCUUUCCCAAGCAGGCAAGAUUGCCAACACACCGGAAGGAGCUGGUCCAUACUGACGCGGACCUAUGAGCGAGGAAGAACUUUGAGGUGCAAGGUAUUUUCUGACUUUCACGGAUGACUUUACUUUUAUACAUAUAAGUAGUCUCGACUUUUUUUUCUGGAAGUUGAAAUCUCGAAAGUUGCCCUAUGUUAGUUGUUCAAAGAAAUGGUUGAGAAGGAAACGGGUUUGCUAUAUUUUUUGUUAAAGAUCUGACAAUGGAGGUGAGUUCUGUUCUAGAGACAGGACUUUCAAAAACAAAAUGGAAUCCGGCCCUUUACACUCCAAAGCUGAAUGGAGUCGCAGAGCGGAAGAACAAAACAAUCGUUGAUAUGGCCAAGUUUAUGUUAAAAGGGCAUGAUGACAGAAAAGAGCAUCUCUAAAUCUUACUGGGGACUGUGGCCUCACGGCAGUCAAUAUUAUUCAUCGGUGUCUGCUGUUGAAUGGCAUAACACCAAAAGAAGCAUGGACAGGCAGAAAGCCUGUGAUUUCACAUCUGAGGACAUUCGGCUGCAAAGCUUAUGUCCGACGUUCCGAAGGAGAAGAGGACCGGAUGACAAAGGUAAGUAAGAAAAUGACCUUAUUAAGUGUGAAGAUUCUAAGGCUUAUCAAUUUUAUACACCUGAAUAAUUGCAGUGUUUGGUUUCAAGAAAUGCAAUACUUAUAGAAUUUUAAUUGAAAAGCCAUCUCUCUUUCUUUACUGACAAGCAAGCCUGAUUGAUGAAGAAGAGGAGAUUGUUGAGCUGUUAAGUACAAGUACGCGUCAUAAGCUUUCAAUUGCAGCCGCUUACUUUAUGAGCUAUUAGGUGCUGCCGCACUACGGAUAUCGUGGCGUGUCCACGCUAUUCUCCCGGCGUUCCAUGUUGCCGCUCAGACCUCCGCUUGUUGGUUUGGUGGUUGUGUGGUAUUUAAUAGAAUUCAACAUGUUGCCGUGCCUCUGUAGCUUUUGUCUUCGCCCUUCGACUUCCGGCUUCGGCUUUUAGACUAAAGUGAUUAAAACAUGCCUUGCCUUCCGCCGCUUUCGGAUAAGACUAAGUAACCUUACCAAAAACCUGACACGCUACGGCCUGACUUUGAAGCCGCAAGCUUACACGUGUAACUCCAAUUAAUCACCAAAGGAUGCUUUCAUAUUGACGUGGUUGUACAGGAAGAGCCCCAAGCCCUACAGACAGGAAGGAGAGGGAGAGGAAAGUAACAGGAAGUCUAAGUCUGAGAGCCCCCCUAAGCCCCAAAGAAAGGGGGAACUCCUAAAAGACACAAAAGAUGUCCGGUUGUUGGUAUCUAUUUUCUGACUUCCAUGUUGCCGUGCUACGAGUCAUUUUAGAUAAAAGGAGCUGUACUGAAAAAGCCCGAAGUGUUAAUGAAAGCCGCACCAUCAACCAAGGCAAAAGCCAGACCUUAAGAAAAUGAAAGCCGGAAAGCCUAUGAAUCUAAAGUGGCAGAAGCUACAGAGGCUAAACAACCCUUGCCCAACUAGAGCGGAACUAUCGCCGGUGCUUAUGAACAUAUUUUUGCAUUCAUUUGAUCUUAUCUAUUGUUGUGAAAGGAGUCUUAAAAAGUGUUCAGUGCAGUGACUCAAAGGAAACCCCAACAAAAAAAUCAUUUCUUUCAAUACUCACUUGUUACGUUAUUGUCAUCUUAUUAGUUAACAAUCCUAAUGAUUGGAUUCAUAUGUUUAAUUCCUGAUAGGAAAUAAAAUAGUAAAAUGAUUAUUCAUGGAAUGACUAUUCAUCUAUUGUAUUUUCAUCAAAUAGGGGGCAAGAAGACUCUAUGGAAAAAUGGUGGUUCAAUUCGAUGUUGUCUAACGAUAAGUUAGAGCAUAGGUGUGGACUAAAUAAAUCAAUGGAUAGUCUUGAUGCUAUUGGGCAUACCAGUGGAAGUGAAGAACCCAUUCUAAAUGGUACGGAGAAAAACAUUCCUAGUCGGAGUGAUAGUGGCAGUUAUAGUUUCAGAAAUGUUGAUUAUUUAUUUGAUAUCAGGGAUAUUUGGAGUUUGAUCUCUGAUGACACUUUUUUAGUUAGGGAUAGUAAUGGUGACAGUUUUUCCGUAUGUUUUGAUAUUGAAAAUCAGAUUUUUGAGAUUGACAAUGAUAGUUCUUUUCUGAGUGAACUAGAAAGUUUUUUUUCUAGUUAUUUAAAUAGUGGGUCUAAGAGAAACAAUCACUACUAUUAUCAUUACAUAUAUGAUACUCAAUCUAGUUGGAAUAAUCACAUUAAUAGUUGCAUUGAUAAUUAUCUUCGUUUUGAAGUCAGUAUUAAUAGUUCCAUUUCGGGCGGUACCGACAAUUACAGUGACAGUUACAUUUAUAGUUUCAUUUGUACUGAAAAUGUAACUGGUAGUGAAAGUGGGAGUUCUGGUAUAAGAACUAGUAAAAAUGGCAGUGAUUUCAAUAUAAGAAGAAGAUCUAAUGAUUUCGGUAGAAAUAAAAAAUACAGACAUUUAUGGGUUCAAUGCGAAAAUUGUUAUGGAUUAAAUUAUAAAAAAUUUUUUAGGUCAAAAAUGAAUAUUUGUGAACAGUGUGGAUAUCAUUUGAAAAUGAGCAGUUCAGAUAGAAUCGAACUUUCGAUUGAUCCGGGGACUUGGGAUCCUAUGGAUGAAGAUAUGGUCUCUAUGGACCCCAUUGAAUUUCAUUCAGAGGGGGAACCCUAUAGAGAUCGUAUCGAUUCUUAUCAAAGAAAGAUAGGUUUAACUGAAGCUGUUCAAACAGGCAUAGGUCAACUAAAUGGUAUUCCCAUAGCAAUUGGGGUUAUGGAUUUUAAGUUCAUGGGAGGUAGUAUGGGAUCCGUAGUAGGCGAGAAAAUCACCCGUUUGAUCGAGUAUGCUACUAAUCGAUCUUUACCUGUCAUUAUUGUGUGUGCUUCUGGAGGAGCGCGCAUGCAAGAAGGAAGUUUGAGUUUGAUGCAAAUGGCUAAAAUAUCUUCCGCUUCAUAUAAUUAUCAAUCAAAUAAAAAUUUAUUCUAUGUAUCAAUCCUUACAUCUCCUACAACCGGUGGAGUAACAGCCAGUUUUGGUAUGUUGGGAGAUGUCAUUGUUGCUGAACCUAAUGCCUACAUUGCAUUUGCGGGUAAAAGAGUAAUUGAACAAACAUUGAAAAAGACAGUACCCGAUGGUUCACAAGCGUCUGAGUAUUUAUUCCAUAAAGGCUUAUUUGACCCAAUUGUACCACGUAAUCCUUUAAAAGGUGUUCUGAGUGAGUUAUUUCAGCUCCACGGUUUCUUUCCCUUGAAUCAAAAUUCAAAAAAUUAAUAAAGUAUAGCACUAAAUUCAGUUAUUUGUAGCGAACAAGUAUUUAGUUCAUCGUAAUCAAAAAAAAACUAAAAAGAAUGGUGUUUUCUUUGAUGACAUAAGUUCUACUUGUAAUAAGAAUUAGAAGUUUCGGGUAAUUACUUUUUAUUUUUUCCUCCAGAUCUAUUUUUUUAUCCUACCUCUAUUCAUGAUUAGUAAUCACAAACCUUCUAUCAACAGGAUAAAAAAGUGAAUUUUUCCCUCCGAAGAAUUAGAAUUAGGGAAAAUAAAAAAUUACUCUGGCCUUCUUACGUAUUAAUAUAGACAAUAAAAAAAAAUAUCGAAAUCAAAAUAAAAAGAAAUAAAUAUAAAAUAGAGAAUAGAAGUUAUUUCUAUAUCUAUCGAUAACCCCCAUUUUUUUAUUUUACUAUGAAUCCCCGUUUGUUGGAUGGAUCGAAUUAGUUAGAGUCGCAAACUCCUAAAAAAAUCUUUUAUUUUCAUAAUAAACUCCUUAUUAGAUUAGAAAGAUAGAAAGAAAUAAGGAUGGGAUAAUAAUAUGAAAAUAAAUUAAUAAAGCGAAUUAUCAUACAUAUUCGUGUAGAAAGAUGAAUAGGUACACUUAUUUUAUUUAGUUCUACAUUCCUUGCACUUAUUAAUUUAUUAUUAACUACUUAUAAAUAUUAAUUUCUAAAUAUUAAUAAUAAAUAAUAUUAAAUAAUAUAAUAUAUUUUUUUAAGUUUAUGAUAUAUACUUAGGAUAGAUAUACUUAUCAUAUCAUAAGAUAUCUUUCUCUUUCUAAUAGAUAGAAAUAUUAAAUCGAGGCACCCAUUCUAUGACAGAUCUCAACUUACCCUCUAUUUUUGUGCCUUUAGUGGGCCUAGUAUUUCCGGCAAUUGCAAUGGCUUCUUUAUCUCUUUAUGUCCAAAAAAAUAAGAUUGUCUAGAUCCGAUGGGACCAAAUCUCAUCAAUUUAUUUCAACACUGGAUCAUAAUACAGAUAUUUAUUUAGUGUAAUAUGGUACGAUAUGUGACUCUUUACGAACACAAAUGAAAGAGCUGUUAUGCAUGCGGAUACAUGAUAUCCGCAUAAAUGCAUGUAUAUGCAGGUAUAGCUGGUUAAAUUAAAAACGGAUCGGCGAAUAUUUUAUUUAAAUGGAAAGUCAAUGUAUCUAACAAAUUACUUCUAACGGUUUACAUCAGAAUAGUGCUAGUUAAUGAAAGUUACUUCGGGAUCAAGAAAGUAAAAUUCAUUUUGGUUAUUCUCUCAAUUCCAAUCGAAUGCAACUGGAUCUAGUAGAGUAUGAAUUGGCGAUCAGAACAUAUAUGGAUAGAACCUAUAAUGGGGUCUCGAAAAACAAGUAAUUUUUUCUGGGCCUGUAUCCUUUUUUUAGGUUCACUAGGAUUCUUAGUGGUUGGAACUUCCAGUUAUCUUGGUAGGAAUCUGAUAUCCGUAUUUCCAUCUCAGCAAAUUAUUUUUUUUCCACAAGGGAUCGUGAUGUCUUUCUAUGGGAUCGCAGGUCUAUUCAUUAGCUCCUAUUUGUGGUGCACAAUUUCAUGGAAUGUAGGUAGUGGUUAUGACCGAUUCGAUAGAAAGGAAGGAAUAGUGUGUAUUUUUCGUUGGGGAUUUCCUGGAAUAAAUCGUCGCAUCUUCCUUCGCUUAUUUAUGAGAGAUAUCCAAUCCAUCAGAAUGGAGGUUAAAGAGGGUCUUUAUCCUCGUCGUGUCCUUUAUAUGGAAAUUAGAGGCCAAGGAGCCAUUCCCUUGACUCGUACUGAUGAGUAUUUUACUCCACGAGAAAUUGAACAAAAAGCUGCCGAAUUGGCCUAUUUCUUGCGCGUACCAAUUGAAGUAUUUUGAAAUGAACUGAAGAAAAAAUUGAAAAAAAACUUGCUAAUUUCCUUUUUAAUACAACCGUCGACUCUAUCUGAUAUUUCUCUGAAGUACGAGUUCUAUAAAAAGGUAUUGAACCCAUGGAUCUAUUUCCUAUUUUUGUCUAAUAAUUUAGAUCUCGGAUCUAUAAGGAAAGGAAUAUAGAAAUAGAAUAAGGGUCCUUUUAGGAUAAAAAUGAAAAAAAAAGAAAGCCCGGGUCUCCCUCCCAUAUAUUUCAUCCAACAUAUUUUUGCCCUGGUGGGUCUCUCUCUCAUUUAAUAAAUGUCUGGAACCUUGGGUUACUAAUUGGUGGAAUACCGGGAAAUCCGAAACUUUUUUGAAUGAUAUUCAAGAGAAAAAUGUUCUAGAAAGAUUCAUAGAAUUGGAAGAACUAUUCCUCUUGGAUGAAAUGAUAAAGGAGUACCCGGAGACGCAUAUACAAAAACUUCGUAUAGGAAUACACAAGGAAACGAUACAAUUGGUCAAAACACACAAUGAAUAUCAUCUCCAUAUCAUUUUUGAUUUCUCGACAAAUAUAAUUUGUUUCGCUAUUCUAAGUGGUUAUUUUAUUCUGGGUAAUGAAGAACUUGUCAUUCUUCAUUCUUGGAUUCAGGAAUUCCUCUAUAACUUAAGUGACACAAUAAAAGCUUUUUUUAUUCUUUUAGUUACUUAUUUAUGGAUCGGAUUUCAUUCGACCCAUGGUUGGGAACUCAUGAUUGGUUCGGUCUACAACGAUUUUGGAUUGGUUCAUAACGAUCAAAUUAUAUCUAGUCUUGUUUCCACUUUUCCAGUUAUUCUAGAUACAAUUGUGAAAUAUUGGAUCUUCUAUUAUUUAAAUCGUGUAUCUCCUUCACUUGUAGUCAUUUAUCAUUCAAUGAAUGAAUGAAGAACUCAUUUGAUCUCCUGAUAUUAAUCAAAUCAGAAUCUUUCUUCGUAUAUAAAGAAAACAUUUUCAAUCUUACUUAAUUCUUUAUACUUCUAGUUCUUCAAGGUAUUCGUCCUAUAUUCCAGUACAAUUAUCCCAGUACAAUGACAGACUCGUGUAUAGGGAACUAUACUAGCUACCUAUCUAAUUUAUUGUAGAAAUUCCGGGAUCAAUGAUUGGACAUGCAAAAUAGAAAUACUUUUUCUUGGGUAAAGGAACAGAUGACUCAAUCGAUUUCUAUAUCGAUCAUGAUAUAUGUAAUAACUCGGGCAUCUAUUUCAAAUGCAUAUCCCAUUUUUGCGCAGCAGGGUUAUGAAAACCCACGAGAAGCAACUGGACGAAUUGUAUGUGCCAAUUGCCAUUUAGCUAAUAAGCCCGUGGAUAUUGAAGUUCCGCAAGCCGUGCUUCCUGAUACUGUAUUUGAAGCAGUUGUUCGAAUCCCUUAUGAUAUGCAACUGAAACAAGUUCUUGCUAAUGGUAAAAAGGGGGCUUUGAAUGUAGGGGCUGUUCUUAUUUUACCCGAGGGAUUCGAAUUAGCCCCCCCCGAUCGUAUUUCUCCCGAGGUGAGAGAAAAGAUGGGAAAUCUGUCUUUUCAGAGUUAUCGUCCCAAUAAAAGAAAUAUUCUUGUGAUAGGUCCUGUUCCCGGUCAGAAAUAUAGUGAAAUCGCCUUUCCCAUUCUUUCCCCCGACCCUGCUACGAGGAAAGACGUUCACUUCUUAAAAUAUCCCAUAUAUGUAGGUGGGAACAGAGGAAGGGGUCAGAUUUAUCCUGAUGGGAGCAAGAGUAACAAUACAGUCUAUAAUGCUACAUCAGCAGGUAUAGUAAGCAAAAUAGUACGUAAAGAAAAAGGAGGAUAUGAAAUAUCCAUAGUUGAUGUAUCGGAUGGACAUCAAGUGAUUGAUAUUAUACCUCCAGGACCAGAACUUCUUGUUUCAGAGGGUGAAUCCAUCAAGCUUGAUCAACCAUUAACAAGCAAUCCCAAUGUAGGAGGGUUUGGUCAGGGAGAUGCAGAAAUAGUGCUUCAAGAUCCAUUACGUGUCCAAGGCCUUUUGUUCUUCUUGGCAUCUGUUAUUUUGGCACAAGUUUUUUUGGUUCUUAAAAAGAAACAGUUUGAAAAGGUUCAAUUGUAUGAAAUGAAUUUCUAGGUCCAGAAAUUCCUUAACAUUAAGUUGGUAAAAAGCAACAAAUUAUUGUCGAUCGAUACUUAUGUAUGAUCAAAAAAUUCUGUAAACCUUUUUGUUUAUACUGUUUUUGUUUUGUUUGUGGGAUGUCUGGAAUUCAUUACGUGUAUCCCAUUCCUAGUAAUAGACUAUAGGCAUACAAAUA